UCUCCUGGUGAUGCCACGUCAUCAAUUGGGUAAAGGAGAGAGUGACACCUGUCCAACUCUAAAGAAACUUUUUUGCUUUUCGUUUGGUUUGUUAUGGGUUUUCACGUUUACAGUUUUGGGCUUGAGCUUACUUAAUAUAAUUUUCCUACACGCAGCGUUUUUCAUCGUUGCUGUCUGCGUCUCCCAGUGCGUCAAUGUCGUUUCGGUCGAUUUUCACUGCACGUGUCUUUGCAGACGGAGGCGUAACGAUUCAAUUUGUGGCAUUUACGUUUUCAUUCACUCCAUUAAACCACGAUCUCCACUAACUCGCAUUCAAGAUGACCAUCGUCUUCCUCGAAGCUCCUCCCUUAUGCUUGCCGACUUAAAAUCCGGUCGUUGUGCCAACACUGUUGAAGCCCGGCUUCUGAGGAUCUGGGAUGCGCAAUUGUAGAGAAAGGCAGUGUGCUCAUAGUCUACAUGUUGUCCUUUGACGAGCAGGUGAUUCCGGCGACCAUUGACUGCCUAUUAGUACUUUUCUGGUAGGCGUAGCUAUUAAGGCGAUACUGAUUUGUUGUCUUUUUUAGUUUUUUUUACGAAACGGGAAAGGUAAUCCAAGGUUCCGUCAACGAUCUCUGACUAUGCAAUGUCCUUAAGCUUCUGGUCUUCUCAAGCCUUGGUUAUUAACAGUAUCUAUUUUUCUUUUCUUUUUUGCAAUAACCAGUAUCUGUUUUUUCAUUCUAAUCUCUAUGAACGAUUAAGGCUUAUGUAAUAAUUUGAUAUUUGUUUUCUUUCUCUUCAACAGGUUCCUUUGAUCACCAAAUGUGAUUACAUAAGCAAUUUUAAGUUACAAUCUUCAGCUUCUGGGAAUGGAUAUCAUCAUCUCAAGCUCGAAAACUUGCUAGGUGGAGCAGAAACAUUUUAGGCCAUCUAGAAAUUCUGCUGCUGUCUCCCGCUGGACUUGAAUCCUCUCAACAUCGCUCCACUGAGAUGUGCAUCAGAGUAUUUGUACAUGAUUGAAGAAUUUCAAGACGGGAAUGUAAUCUCCCGGGCAGAUGCUUUCAUAAAUUUUGUAGUACUUGCCUCAUGGAGACUCUCACUGUUCUGAGAUCAUGUGCAAACUUAUCUCCAUGGGCAGAAAAACUACAGACUGUACGGAGAUACUGCGACUUGCUUGCUAUUAAAGCCUUCAAUGAUAAUCAUGACAUACUAGAAGAUGCUGAUAGCAAUGGAAAAUGUCAAUACAAUGGUAUAUCUAACCUUCCACUUGAUCACUUCAUGAGGGUUGUAACAACUGUAAACGGCAAGACGGUUCAAACCAGAUAUUAUAGGUAAACUCAUCAUGAAGUAUGCAGAGAACUGGUUGCACAAAUCGAUGAUGAUUUGGAAGGAAUAUGAGGUUACGAGUCAAGUAAGGAAACAAUGAAUUGCAAUUCAGUGUUGGAAGAGAAAGAAAAGAGGAAAGAAGUUUAGAAUGUCAAGAAAAAAAGCGAAUCAUUGAAAGCUUAUUUGAGUUUAGUCUUUCUUUUGUUUUUUUUUUUUAAAUUAGGACUUUGGUUGAACUUUAUUAAUCCAAGUCAGUUUCACGUUUCACCACAUAAUGGUUUCACCAGUCUUUCGUUUACGAUCUCCUAUUGUUUGACUUUCAUUACACUAUUCAUUAGGGCUUACUCUG